AUUGCCCUAGUAACGGCGAGCGAAGCGGCAACAGCUCAAAUUUGAAAUCUGGCUAUUUUGUAGUCCGAGUUGUAAUUUGUAGAGGAUGCUUUUGGUGAGGUGCCUUCCGAGUUCCCUGGAACGGGACGCCAGAGAGGGUGAGAGCCCCGUACGGUUGGAUACCAAACCUUUGUAUAGCUCCUUCGACGAGUCGAGUAGUUUGGGAAUGCUGCUCUAAAUGGGAGGUAUAUCUCUUCUAAAGCUAAAUAUAGGCUAGAGACCGAUAGCGCACAAGUAGAGUGAUCGAAAGAUGAAAAGCACUUUGAAAAGAGAGUUAAACAGCACGUGAAAUUGUUGAAAGGGAAGCGCCUAUGACCAGACUUGUUUCUUUCAGUUUUGUUAGUUUUCGGACUGAUUUACUCUGUUAGUACAGGCCAGCAUCAGUUUGUUGUCAGGGAGAAAGGCUUAGGGAAUGUGGCUCUUUCGGGAGUGUUAUAGCCCUUUGCAUAAUACCUUUCGGCAGACUGAGGACCGCGCUUCGGCAAGGAUGCUGGCGUAAUGGUCAUCAGCGACCCGUCUUGAAACACGGACCAAGGAGUCAACCUUAUGUGCGAGUGUUUGGGUGUAAAACCCCAGCGCGUAAUGAACGUGAACGUAGGUGAGAGCUUCGGCGCAUCAUCGACCGAUUCUGAUGUUCUCGGAUGGAUUUGAGUAAGAGCACACAGGGUUGGACCCGAAAGAAGGUGAACUAUGCUUGUAUAGGGUGAAGCCAGAGGAAACUCUGGUGGAGGCUCGCAGCGGUUCUGACGUGCAAAUCGAUCGUCAAAUAUGAGCAUGGGGGCGAAAGACUAAUCGAACCUUCUAGUAGCUGGUUCCAGCG
rnacentral:rRNA from 1 species